rnacentral:rRNA from 1 species
AGGGUUUUGGUGGAGCGCAGGACCUGAUCCUGGGAGGCAAGCGUAUUAACAGGUGUGACGCAGGAAGGUAGCCAAGCCGGGCGAUGGUUGUCCCGGUCUAAGGAUGUAGGGCGAACGGUAGGCAAAUCCGCUGUUCAUGAUGCCUGAGAUCUGAUGGGACCCCCGUUUGGGGGGAUUUGGUGAUCCUAUGCUGCCGAGAAAAGCAUCGACGCGAGGUUUUAGCCGCCCGUACCCCAAACCGACACAGGUGAUCAGGUAGAGAAUACUAAGGCGAUCGAGAGAAUUAUGGUUAAGGAACUCGGCAAAAUGCCCCCGUAACUUCGGGAGAAGGGGGGCCCCAACCUUGAACACCACACGCUGGUGGGAGGGGAUCGGGGCCGCAGAGACCAGGGGGAAGCGACUGUUUACUAAAAACACAGGUCCGUGCGAAGUCGCAAGACGAUGUAUACGGACUGACUCCUGCCCGGUGCUGGAAGGUUAAGAGGACCGGUUAGCCGCAAGGCGAAGCUGAGAAUUUAAGCCCCAGUAAACGGCGGUGGUAACUAUAACCAUCCUAAGGUAGCGAAAUUCCUUGUCGGGUAAGUUCCGACCUGCACGAAUGGAGUAACGACUUCCCCGCUGUCUCAACCAUAAACUCGGCGAAAUUGCAGUACGAGUAAAGAUGCUCGUUACGCGCAGCAGGACGGAAAGACCCCGAGACCUUUACUAUAGUUUGGUAUUGGUGUUCGGAGUGGCUUGUGUAGGAUAGGUGGGAGACGUUGAAGCCCGGACGCCAGUUCGGGUGGAGUCAUCGUUGAAAUACCACUCUGGUCACUUUGGACAUCUAACUUCGGCCCGUAAUCCGGGUCAGGGACAGUGCCUGAUGGGUAGUUUAACUGGGGCGGUUGCCUCCUAAAAAGUAACGGAGGCGCCCAAAGGUUCCCUCAGCCUGGUUGGCAAUCAGGUGUCGAGUGUAAGUGCACAAGGGAGCUUGACUGUGAGAGAGACAUCUCGAGCAGGGACGAAAGUCGGGACUAGUGAUCCGGCGGUACAUUGUGGAAUGGCCGUCGCUCAACGGAUAAAAGGUACCUCGGGGAUAACAGGCUGAUCUUGCCCAAGAGUCCAUAUCGACGGCAUGGUUUGGCACCUCGAUGUCGGCUCGUCGCAUCCUGGGGCUGGAGUAGGUCCCAAGGGUUGGGCUGUUCGCCCAUUAAAGCGGUACGCGAGCUGGGUUUAGAACGUCGUGAGACAGUUCGGUCCCUAUCCGCUGCGCGCGCAGGAAAUUUGAGAAGGGCUGUCCUUAGUACGAGAGGACCGGGACGGACGAACCUCUGGUGUGUCAGUUGUACUGCCAAGUGCACCGCUGAUUAGCUACGUUCGGAUGGGAUAACCGCUGAAAGCAUCUAAGCGGGAAGCUCGCUUCGAGAUGAGAUUUCCAUACACCUUGUGUGUGAGAGGCCCCCAGCCAGACCACUGGGUUGAUAGGCCGGAUGUGGAAGCGAGGACUAACGACUCGUGAAGCUGACCGGUACUAAUAGGCCGAUAACUUACACCAC